rnacentral:rRNA from 1 species
GUUGGGCUCGCUAACUUCGGUUGGCGGGUUCGAUGUUUUUACACACCUGUUUACCUUUACCUAGUUUCUUCCCUGAUCUAGGGUGCCCUGGCUGUCAGUAGCGUUCCUACUGGCAGGGUUGGGUUACCUUUCAGGGGUUUUUUGUUACAUGUUUCUUUAGCUGAAUUGUCUGAAUACAAAUUGAAAAAUUAAAACUUUCAACAACGGAUCUCUAGGUUCUCGCAUCGAUGAAGAAUGCAGCGAAAUGCGAUAAGUAGUGUGAAUUGCAGAUUUCAGUGAAUCAUCGAAUCUUUGAACGCACAUUGCGCCCUCUGGUAUUCCGGAGGGCAUGCCUGUCUGAGCGCCAAUAAAUCUCUCAAACUUAAUUGUUUGGUCUUGGGGCAUGUGGCUUCUAGCUACAGCUCUUAAAACUAUUGGCGAUACUUGUUCACCUUGUAAGACGUAGUAAGUAAUUUCUCGUUGAAGCAACUGAAUAGGUGUCUGCCAACUGAACCGAUUUAUUUAACAGCUUGACCUCAGAUCAGGUAGGGAUACCCCCUGAACUUAAGCAUAUCAAUAAGCGGAGGA